CUGCUGUGCUAAACAGCAACCUGGAGAGGAAAGGGUUCGUUUGGCUUACGUGUCAGGAUCAUAGUCCAUCACGGAGUCCAUCACCGAGAGCGGUGAAGCUGAGCAACUCUCAAUGGAGAAAAGCUGCAACAGCCACUUCUGAGACCAGACCAGCCUCCUGAAAGGCGCAGGAACCAGCUGAACUCCCUGGAAGAGGUUUAGAGCAACAAACGCCCGACAUGUUGAACUGCCUGCAGGCUGUGCAGUGUGCUCUGGGUUCCUGGCUCUGUGAACUGUCAUCUGUGCUGGGGUGGGCUUUGCUGAUACAGCUGUCUGUGAGUCAUUUCUGCUUCUGUAAAUAGCCCUUCACCCAUAUUCCUGUAAGUAACUCCAGUAAAACCUAUUGGUUCAACAAGUGGGA